GAUCCUGGCUCAGGAUGAACGCUAGCUACAGGCUUAACACAUGCAAGUCGAGGGGCAGCAUGGUCUUAGCUUGCUAAGGCCGAUGGCGACCGGCGCACGGGUGAGUAACACGUAUCCAACCUGCCGUCUACUCUUGGACAGCCCUCUGAAAAGGAAGAUUAAUACAAGAUGGCAUCAUGAGUCCGCAUGUUCACAUGAUUAAAGGUACUCCGGUAGACGAUGGGGA
rnacentral:rRNA from 1 species